rnacentral:rRNA from 1 species
UGGUGGAGUGAUUUGUCUGCUUAAUUGCGAUAACGAACGAGACCUUAACCUGCUAAAUAGUCAGGCUAGCUUUGGCUGGUCGCCGGCUUCUUAGAGGGACUAUCGGCUCAAGCCGAAGGAAGUUUGAGGCAAUAACA